GGUCACAGUGUGGAGUAGGGAGCUGGGCCCAGCCCUGUGGGCAGGAGUUGCUGUUGUGGGACAAGCAUGGAGCGGGCUCAGUCUCCUCUGCAUCAAGCCAAGUGGCAUAUGUUCAAAUUAGCCAUUCUCUAGACCUCAGAAGAAACUCUAGACAACAUCCAAGAUGGCACAUGGAUUGGCCUGAAAAUGAUGAAAGCACAAAGAUCCUCAAGGAAAAGAAUGAUACAUUACCAUUGAGCCGAAUAUCACCAUUGAUGAUACAGAACUGAAGUGUCUCAAUCACCUCAAGUACCUUGGCAGUAGUAUCUCAAGUGACAGUUCUUGAUCCAGAGAACUGUCAAACAGAAUACAAAAAGCAAGCCAGGUCUUGGGAAUCCUUUGUCAUAGGAUAUGCAACCAAAACACAAUCAAACAAAGCUGACAACCUACCAGGGAACAGUGACAGCCUCCCUCCUAGAUGGGUGUGAAACAUGUACAGUUUAGUACAGACACAUUAAGCAACUUGAGAAAAUUCACACAUGUUGUCUGUCUUCUACUCUGAAGGUCCACUGGCAUGAUGAAGUGCCAAAUGCUACCAUCCUUUGGGGGGAGAGGGGGAAGGGGAGAAUGAAAACAACCAGCAUCUUGGCAAUGAUCAUCAAAGCUGAACUUUGGACAGGUCAUGUUAUCAGAGUGGGGGUGGUGACAAUCCUGAAAAAACUUUCUGUAGCAAGCUAAAACGUGGAAAGCACAUCAGGGGUGGCCAAACAAAAAUCUUUCUAAGACACCUCUAAGCAGAAUCUAACUUUGAAGCUAAAUAGCGAUAACGUUGAAGAAACAACCCAUGACAGAUCUGAAUGGAGAGUACCUUUCAAUAAAAGUUGUCAACACUUUGA